CAUUAGCACCCUAGCCCCCGACUAAAAUUAUGAAUGAAAAGCCUUGUUGUUCUUUACAAAUAACUCUGGCUUCCUCAGUCAGUCAAAUUCGAAUGGAAGUGACUGCCGGACAAAGGGGCGGGAUGAUGGACAGUCCACACAGCAAGUCCUCAAUGCCCACAGGAAGUUUUUAAGCCACAAUCUAGGCUCCAUCCCUCGCCGGGAUGCAGGGAUUCGGGUCCGCGCUGACACGCACGGACAACAGGGAAGGCACCGACCAUUGACUUGGGCUUUGAAUGGUGCGCGGUGCCGGGGUGGGUUACAGACUCCGGGCAGCAGCGCUCCCCGCCGGGAUGGUGCAUUGUCCCGGGGCCCCUUUUUCACCGCGGGGGCAAAGGUUCGGAAUGCGUUUUUUGCAUUCUCUGCUGUUCUGAUGUCCCUUAUCCGUCCGCUGCUCCCCUCUUUUGAAAGAAAGAUGGGUUUUGAGGGUCCUCUUCUGAGAAUGUUUUCCCUAGUCUUAAUGUGUUGGUGAGCUGACUCAGUUCACUGGACAACUGCAAUUUGUUAUCAGCCGCAGAGUUUGAAUUCAGAGCUGUAGUCCCACAUGGUGGCUUCUUGUAAGGGCCAUAUAUUUUGGACUUCUGAAGACAAGGCAGUUUUCCUUUGGUUUGUUGACUUAGGGACGCCAAGCUGGUGUUGUAACUGAAGUAGCCUGUGUCCUAAGAAAGUGCAUUGUAGACUUUCUUUUUCGGUCUUUAUUGUAUGGGUCGCUCAUGUAUGUAUUUGUACCCCUCAUUCUGGGAGAAUCCGUCAACCUCUGAUAUCCUAAUCAAUAAAUAAAAAUAGA